rnacentral:lncRNA from 1 species
GCUAGAAGAAGCCUCUUUUAACCGUGAUGGCGCUCAGUGGGGCCUAGCUGGGCGUUAAAAAAAACCCGGGCAGACCGCAGGGGGCUCUGAUCGGCCCUGUGCCACCCGUCGGAAGUCGAACCAGGUGACGCCUCGGGGUUGAAGUGCCUGAAAUGGACUUUAGUUUCCUUCUCUCUGCUUCCUGCCUCUGAGAAGUGAUCUGCCCCAUCUGCCGCAUGUCCCUGUCACUGUGAUGCGCUGCCUCACCACAGGACCUUGGCACAGAGCCAGCCUGCCAUGGAUGAGAACCUCUGAAGCCACGAACCUAGCAUUAACAGGUGCACAUGGAAGCUUCUAGAAACCCUUAUCUGCACUGGAGAAUAAUCAGGACAGAGCAGCCUGGUGCCUUGCUGGACCCAAUUGACAAAAUCCCUGCAGCUCUCUGAAGGUGGGGGAUUGAAGUGGGCAUCUGCUCUGUGCAGGUUCAAAGGAAAAGCGAUGAAGGACCGAGGCUGUCUGCCUGGGGAAUCUGCACCCACUCCUCUCCUCCCUGAAGUGGCAGAAAGGGAAUGUCUGACAGCUUGGUGGAGCCCUGGCCUUGGAGGAGUCUUGGUCUGGAACAUUACAGGCCCGA